rnacentral:rRNA from 1 species
AUCGAACGCUGGCGGCAGGCCUAACACAUGCCAGUCGAACGGUAACAGGAAACAGCUUGCUGUUUCGCUGACGAGUGGCGGACGGGUGAGUAAUGUCUGGGAAACUGCCUGAUGGAGGGGGAUAACUACUGGAAACGGUAGCUAAUACCGCAUAACGUCGCAAGCCCAAAGAGGGGGACCUUCGGGCCUCUUUCCAUCGGAUGUGCCCAGAUGGGAUUAGCUAGUAGGUGGGGUAACGGCUCACCUAGGCGACGAUCCCUAGCUGGUCUGAGAGGAUGACGAGCCACACUGGAACUGAGACACGGUCCAGACUCCGACGGGAGGCAGCAGUGGGGAAUAUUGCACAAGGGGCGAAAGCCUGAUGCAGCCAUGCCGCGUGUAUGAAGAAGGCCUUCGGGUUGUAAAGUACUUUCAGCGGGGAGGAAGGGAGUAAAGUUAAUACCUUUACUCAUGGACGUUACCCGCAGAAGAAGCACCGGCUAAUUCCGU